rnacentral:rRNA from 1 species
AGAGUUUGAUCCUGGCUCAGAACUAACGCUAGUGGCGUGUCUUAGUCAUGCGAGUCGAGCGAGAAAGUCCUCUUCGGAGGGCGAGUACAGCGGCAAACGGGUGAGUAACGCGUGGGUAAUCUACCUUUGAGUUGGGGAUAACACUCCUAACGGAGUGCUAAUACCGAAUGUGAUGUCGGGAUCUUGGUUCCGGCUUGAAAGAUGGCCUCUGCUUGCAUGCUGUCGCUCGAAGAUGAGCCCGCGUCCUAUUAGCUUGUUGGUGGGGUAAUGGCCUACCAAGGCAACGAUGGGUAGCCGGCCUGAGAGGGUGAACGGCCACACUGGCACUGAGACAAGGGCCAGUCCCCUACGGGGGCCAGCAGUCUAGAAAUUUGCACAAUCGCCGAAAGGCGGAUGCAGCGACGCCACGUGGAGGAUGAAGCCUUUCGGGGUGUAAACUCCUGUCAGAGGGGAAGAAGGUGCGGGUAUUAAUACCAUCCGUUACUUGACGGUACCCUCAGAGGAAGCUCCGGCUAACUGCGUGCCAGCAGCCGCGGUAAUACGUGGGGAGCAAGCGUUGUUCGGAUUUACUGGGCGUAAAGAGCUCGUAGGUGGAUGUGUAAGUCGGAUGUGAAAUCCUCUGGCUCAACCAGAGAACUGCACCCGAAACUGCACAUCUUGAGUCCAGCAGAGGGAAUCGGAAUCAAGGGUGUAGCGGUGAAAUGCGUAGAGAUCCUUGAGAACACCAGUGGCGAAGGCGGAUUCCUGGGCUGGCACUGACACUGAGGAGCGAAAGCGUGGGUAGCGAACAGGAUUAGAUACCCUGGUAGUCCACGCCGUAAACGAUGGGUACUAGGUGUUGGGGGAUGUUGACCCCCUCAGUACCGUAGCUAACGCAUUAAGUACCCCGCCUGGGGAGUACGGUCGCAAGAUUAAAACUCAAAGGAAUUGACGGGGGCCCGCACAAGCGGUGGAGCAUGUGGUUUAAUUCGACGCAACGCGCAGAACCUUACCCGGCCUUGACAUCCUAGGAACCCGCCCGAAAAGGUGGGGUGCCCUUCGGGGAACCUGGUGACAGGUGCUG